AUGGAGAGAUGGCACGAUUUGAUCCGAGUCAUAUCUAACAUGACCAUAACUAAUGAGGUGGACCACCCUGUUUGGGUGUUGGAAUCGUCAGGGAUUUACUCGGUCUAGUCCUUUUAUAACAUGAUUAACUCGGGUGGGGUUUGUACACCUAUUUGGAAUUUUUUUUGGAAAAUUGUUGUGCCCCACAGAUAUCUAGUUUUUCUGUGGCUAGCUUUCCAUAAUAAGAUUCUUACCAGAGAUAACCUGAAUAAAAGGAGGGUGGUGGAAAACUUAAAGUGUUUAUUUUGUGGUGAGGAUGAAACAGUUUGUCACCUAUUCUAUGAAUGUGUGGUUGCCAAACAAAUCUGGAAUGAGGUGUCUGACUCCUUUGAGUUUAAUAUGACUAAAUUAUCUUGCUUUUGGAACUUGAAUAACAAGAAAUCUAUUGUUAAUAUUGCUUGCGUUGCUACCAUUUGGGGCAUUUGGACUAUGCGUAAUGACAUGUGCUUUCAGGGCGUGCCAUGGACAAGCACCCGUGCAAUCUUGGCAAGGAUCAGCUCGUCGCUACAUCAAUGGAAGAUCCUCUGUGUGGGCGACCAAUCGGUGCUGCUGAGAAGAUGCAUUCAACUCCUAGAUCGGCAAAGAGGCAAGCUGCUCAGGAUUGCGUGGGCUUUGGGCUGA
rnacentral:rRNA from 1 species